AGCGAACGCUGGCGGCAGGCUUAACACAUGCAAGUCGAGCGGGCGUAGCAAUACGUCAGCGGCAGACGGGUGAGUAACGCGUGGGAACAUACCUUUUGGUUCGGAACAACACAGGGAAACUUGUGCUAAUACCGGAUAAGCCCUUACGGGGAAAGAUUUAUCGCCGAAAGAUUGGCCCGCGUCUGAUUAGCUAGUUGGUGAGGUAACGGCUCACCAAGGCGACGAUCAGUAGCUGGUCGAGAGGAUGAUCAGCCACAUUGGGACUGAGACACGGCCCAAACUCCUACGGGAGGCAGCAGUGGGGAAUAUUGGACAAUGGGCGCAAGCCUGAUCCAGCCAUGCCGCGUGAGUGAUGAAGGCCCUAGGGUUGUAAAGCUCUUUUGUGCGGGAAGAUAAUGACGGUACCGCAAGAAUAAGCCCCGGCUAACUUCGUGCCA
rnacentral:rRNA from 1 species